AAUGCUUUUAGAUACUCAGAAGGUGAAGCAUAAGUUUAAAACCUGAAAGUAAUAAGCACAAAAUAUUACAAUGCCAUUUCAAACUUUUUGGUUUCUUAAAAGCAAGAAUGAACAAGGAUCACGAGAACUAUUUACAUGCCUCCAAUUCAACAGCACACCUUUUGCACAUCAAAGGUACAAAAUCAAAGUCACACAACUUCACCACCCACUGCUCAAUUCAGUGAUUAACUCGCUCACUAGUCCCUAAAACCCGAGAAAUCAAACUCAGUUUGAUUGCUUACCAAAUGGAGAGACUUGCAAAAAUAAAAUGGAAGUAUUUAGCUGUAAACCUAAUACAGCAAGAUAACAAGUGUUCCAAAUGCCUUAAACCUCAACUUUCCCUGUAGUUUUCCCCCAUUUUCUCAGCAACCAAACAGAGAACCACUAACAUAGUGGAAUACCAAGGCAAAUUUCAACUCUCGGAAAGAAAAGAGCGUGAGAGAAAAUGUAUAAACCCAAAUUUGGCUCAGCCAAACAAAAACCACAAAUUGCAGAGCAAGCAAAGCAAAUCUAAACCAAACCCAGAUGCUAAAAGCCAACCAUUGAUUAUGAUUCAAAACCCAAAAUACAAAAACCAAUCAGAGCAUAUAAAAAGCCCUUACAUUACUUCCUUUCCACACUUCAUAAACGCGCUUCGCCAUAACAGCAACUCGCACGCGCCACCCCCCACUUCUUUCUCUUCCACUUACUACGCAGGCACGGAGUCGAAGAUUUCAAACUUGGUGUUCCCCCUGUUCUUUUAAUUUCAUUCCAAAAAUAAACCCCAAACCCAAUAUUAAUAAAUCAGUGGCCAGGUGAAAUCACAGAGAGGGUGAAUGAAAACAGUAAAUAUGGGGGUUUUGGGCCUGGGUUUUGGGGAUUUUACAGAAAUUAUUACAAACUGGCUCAAUGAGAGAGAGAGAGACGAUCUGCGAGAUGGCGGUUUGUGGGUUUUGGAAUUUUGGAAGUUGGGUAUGGCGAGUGUGAGCAUGUGAUUUU
rnacentral:misc_RNA from 1 species